GGGGCUGAUUCUGGAUUCGACGGGAUUUGCGAAACCCAAGGUGCAUGCCGAGGGGCGGUUGGCCUCGUAAAAAGCCGCAAAAAAAAUAGUCGCAAACGACGAAACCUACGCUUUAGCAGCUUAAUAACCUGCUUAGAGCCCUCUCUCCCUAGCCUCCGCUCUUAGGACGGGGAUCAAGAGAGGUCAAACCCAAAAGAGAUCGCGCGGAUGCCCUGCCUGGGGUUGAAGCGUUAAAACGAAUCAGGCUAGUCUGGUAGUGGCGUGUCCGUCCGCAGGUGCCAGGCGAAUGUAAAGACAGACUAAGCAUGUAGUACCGAGGAUGUAGGAAUUUCGGACGCGGGUUCAACUCCCGCCAGCUCCACCA
rnacentral:tmRNA from 1 species